GUCUACGGCCAUACUACCCUGAACAUACCCAAUCUCAUCUGAUCUUGAAAGUUAAGCAGGGUCAGGCCUGGUUAGUAGUUGGAUGGGAGACUGUUUGGGAAUACCAGGUGCCGUAGGCU